rnacentral:rRNA from 1 species
UUGAUUAUGGCUCAGGAUGAACGCUAGCGGGAGGCCUAACACAUGCAAGCCGAGCGGUAGAGAUUCUUCGGAAUCUUGAGAGCGGCGUACGGGUGCGGAACACGUGUGCAACCUGCCUUUAUCAGGGAGAUAGCCUUUCGAAAGGAAGAUUAAUACCCCAUAAUAUAUUAAGUGGCAUCACUUGAUAUUGAAAACUACGGUGGAUAGAGAUGGGCACGCGCAAGAUUAGAUAGUUGGUGAGGUAACGGCUCACCAAGUCUACGAUCUUUAGGGGGCCUGAGAGGGUGAUCCCCCACACUGGUACUGAGACACGGACCAGACUCCUACGGGAGGCAGCAGUGAGGAAUAUUGGACAAUGGGUGAAAGCCUGAUCCAGCCAUCCCGCGUGAAGGACGACGGCCCUAUGGGUUGUAAACUUCUUUUGUAUAGGGAUAAACCUAGAUACGUGUAUCUAGCUGAAGGUACUAUACGAAUAAGCACCGGCUAACUCCGUGCCAGCAGCCGCGGUAAUACGGAGGGUGCAAGCGUUAUCCGGAUUUAUUGGGUUUAAAGGGUCCGUAGGCGGAUCUGUAAGUCAGUGGUGAAAUCUCACAGCUUAACUGUGAAACUGCCAUUGAUACUGCAGGUCUUGAGUGUUGUUGAAGUAGCUGGAAUAAGUAGUGUAGCGGUGAAAUGCAUAGAUAUUACUUAGAACACCAAUUGCGAAGGCAGGUUACUAAGCAACAACUGACGCUGAUGGACGAAAGCGUGGGGAGCGAAC